UCUGCUGGGCGACUCUGGG
rnacentral:misc_RNA from 1 species